rnacentral:rRNA from 1 species
AUUGAACGCUGGCGGCAGGCCUAACACAUGCAAGUCGAGCGGAUGAAGGGAGCUUGCUCCUGGAUUCAGCGGCGGACGGGUGAGUAAUGCCUAGGAAUCUGCCUGGUAGUGGGGGAUAACGUCCGGAAACGGGCGCUAAUACCGCAUACGUCCUGAGGGAGAAAGUGGGGGAUCUUCGGACCUCACGCUAUCAGAUGAGCCUAGGUCGGAUUAGCUAGUUGGUGGGGUAAAGGCCUACCAAGGCGACGAUCCGUAACUGGUCUGAGAGGAUGAUCAGUCACACUGGAACUGAGACACGGUCCAGACUCCUACGGGAGGCAGCAGUGGGGAAUAUUGGACAAUGGGCGAAAGCCUGAUCCAGCCAUGCCGCGUGUGUGAAGAAGGUCUUCGGAUUGUAAAGCACUUUAAGUUGGGAGGAAGGGCAGUAAGUUAAUACCUUGCUGUUUUGACGGUACCAACAGAAUAAGCACCGACUAACUUCGUG